AUAUUUUUAUUAUUAUUUUAUUUUACAUGUAAAUUUUUGUAAGAAUAUAUUUUAUUUUUAAAAAAUGAAAUA
rnacentral:tRNA from 1 species